rnacentral:rRNA from 1 species
CAAUAGCGUAUAUUAAAGUUGUUGCGGUUAAAAAGCUCGUAGUUGGAUUUCUGCUGAGGACGAUCGGUCCGCCCACUGGGUGAGUAUCUGGCUCGGCCUUGGCAUCUUCUUGGAGAACGUUGCUGCACUUGACUGUGUGGUGCGGUAUCCAGGACUUUUACUUUGAGGAAAUUAGAGUGUUUCAAGCAGGCGCACGCCUUGAAUACAUUAGCAUGGAAUAAUAAGAUAGGACCUUAGUUCUAUUUUGUUGGUUUCUAGAGCUGAGGUAAUGAUUAAUAGGGAUAGUUGGGGGCAUUCGUAUUUAACUGUCAGAGGUGAAAUUCUUGGAUCUGUUAAAGACGGACUACUGCGAAAGCAUUUGCCAAGGAUGUUUUCAUUGA